rnacentral:lncRNA from 1 species
UCCGGAAAUGAGCAUUUUAAUGCAGAAAGAAAACCAUGAUAAUUUACAAAUGAAUCACUUUCUGGGCCAGAGCCAGGAAGGCCCCAGGAGCUGUGAGGGUAGAAAGGGAGGUGGCUGCUGGGGAAGAUGUCAUGCUCAAUUCUUGGCCCCCACCCAUCACCAAGAUAGGUACAUCCAUGUGUCAGAGUUGGUGUGAUGCUGGUUUGGAGCUCAGCACCUCCCACAUGGGGCAUGCAGGGGGAGACGGACUGGAGGCUCAGGGCACUGGAGGUAGAAAGGAGCCCUCCCCGCCUCCUUCCCCAGGCCAGGAAGGGGUAAACACACAUAUAAGGCAGCCCCAAUUCCAGCAGGGCCUGAGGCUGGGAAUGAUGUGUUUCCCAGGGGUGGUUAUGGUUCAGGACCUGGCUGCAGGCACUUCCUCCCAAGCCUGGUGGGGUGAAGGGG